UGAGUUUGAUCCUGGCUCAGAUUGAACGCUGGCGGCAUGCCUUACACAUGCAAGUCGAACGGCAGCACGGGAGCAAUCCUGGUGGCGAGUGGCGAACGGGUGAGUAAUACAUCGGAACGUGCCCUGUCGUGGGGGAUAACUAGUCGAAAGAUUAGCUAAUACCGCAUACGACCUGAGGGUGAAAGCGGGGGACCGUAAGGCCUCGCGCGAUAGGAGCGGCCGAUGUCUGAUUAGCUAGUUGGUGGGGUAAAGGCCCACCAAGGCGACGAUCAGUAGCUGGUCUGAGAGGACGAUCAGCCACACUGGGACUGAGACACGGCCCAGACUCCUACGGGAGGCAGCAGUGGGGAAUUUUGGACAAUGGGGGCAACCCUGAUCCAGCAAUGCCGCGUGUGUGAAGAAGGCCUUCGGGUUGUAAAGCACUUUUGUCCGGAAAGAAAUCCCUUGCUCUAAUACGGCGGGGGGAUGACGGUACCGGAAGAAUAAGCACCGGCUAACUACGUGCCAGCAGCCGCGGUAAUACGUAGGGUGCGAGCGUUAAUCGGAAUUACUGNGCGUAAAGCGUGCGCAGGCGGUUUUGUAAGACAGGCGUGAAAUCCCCGAGCUCAACUUGGGAAUGGCGCUUGUGACUGCNAGGCUAGAGUAUGUCAGAGGGGGGUAGAAUUCCACGUGUAGCAGUGAAAUGCGUAGAGAUGUGGAGGAAUACCGAUGGCGAAGGCAGCCCCCUGGGACGUCACUGACGCUCAUGCACGAAAGCGUGGGGAGCAAACAGGANUAGAUACCCUGGNAGUCCACGCCCUAAACGAUGUCAACUAGUUGUUGGGGAUUCAUUUCUUCAGUAACGUAGCUANNGCGUGNAGUUGANNGCCUGGG
rnacentral:rRNA from 1 species